rnacentral:rRNA from 1 species
UGGUGCUUUGCUGUGUCUGUUUGAUUGCGUUAACGGUCGAGAUUUUCUUUUGUUUCUGUGCUGAGACUGGUGUUUAAUUGACACAGGAAGAGGAAAGCAACAGCA